UUUCCGUAGGUGAACCUGCGGAAGGAUCAUUACCGAGUUAGGGUUGCUCCCACGCGCCCGACCUCCAACCCUUUGUCUACCUGACCUUAAUGUUGCUUCGGCAGGCCCGCUGAACCUCCUCCGCCUCACUUCACCGUGGGCGGUGAGGUGACUGCCGCCGGGGGUCCCACGACCCCGGGCCCGUGCCUGUCGACGGCCCAUAACCAAAACUCUUGUUUAAAAACGUGUCGUCUGAGUACUUAAUUUAAUCAAAUUAAAACUUUCAACAACGGAUCUCUUGGUUCUGGCAUCGAUGAAGAACGCAGC
rnacentral:misc_RNA from 1 species